rnacentral:rRNA from 1 species
CUCAGAUCGGGCGAGAU